CGCCGCGGCGGGGGCCUGGAUGGCCGCCCGCCAUGCGGUGGCGGCUCUGGUGCGGCGGUGGACGUCGGAACGGCGUACCAGGCAUCGCCGCCGUGCCC
rnacentral:tRNA from 1 species